CAGAGCGAAUACGCUGAGUAACUUCAGUGUGUGCUCACUUACUUUCUGCAAAUAGGUGGAGGGUGUUCAGCCCUGACUUCUGCUUGCACAUCCCCCUCGGCACAGAUGGAUGGUAAUGUUGCCAGCUAUGCUUUGGAAAGGCUGUGGUUCCUUAGCGUCGUAUUAACACCUCUAGCAGUGCUGGCCAGAGUUUUAAGAGAUAGUUCCAGCAAUGAGCAUAUCGGAGCAGCAAAGACACAGCUGCUCGAAACAGCAACGUGCAGUGGUUAUAUACGCAGUGAAAAAAGACCUCCUUCAAGGAAGCUAUUGAAGACAGCUGCAAAUCAGUCCUCCUCAGGGUUCAUUAGCUUUUUUCAUCUUCUGUAAACCAGCCCUGGGCAUGACUUUAGAAGAUGAUUAAACCAAAAAUUUGUGUGUCAUUACACCCUCUUCAACUCCAGCUGCAACAUUUUAUCCGUGAAAGCUCCAGGAUGCAAGAUCCAGGACAGAAGCCUUCCUGUCUCUCUACUUCCUUGGCAUGCUGGUUACAAUCUCUGCUUCCACCACCACCUAUGUCUGAACUGUGAUUGGUUAAAGACCCUUAAUCCUUGCUGGAAUUUUAUAAACAGGAACAUGGAUUGCCAGCCACCUAAAAUCUCUGGUGAGCCCUGGACUGUGACAGACAAAAGGGCUUUCAGUAUUCUCCCCAGCAAGUCUUUCACAAAGGUAGAGUGAAUUUUGUGCCCAAGUUCACUUCCUCUUUAUGCUGUAGGGAUGCUCUAAAUGGUUCUGUUAUGUGUAGGACAGAUACAUAUUUAUAUGUAAUCCUGACCAUGCAGAGGGUGAGAUGCCAGCUAUGAAUCAACAGAAUUUACAAAGUUUUGCCAAAGGCACUCAUAACUGUGAGUUGCACACAUGGUUGCUUUAAGUGCUAAAAAAGGCUCUCCUCUCUUCACACCUGAAAUAUGGGUCCAUAGCCCUUACACCUACAGCAUUCACAAGCCAGUGCAUGGUAGCCCAGGCACAGUGAUUUUAAAGUUGUAAUGCAGACACAUGACCACAGAUUCCACUCAUAAAGGGCUAUCUGUAUUGCAAUGUUUGAGACUUACAAGUGCAAACAUAGCAGAGGCACUAAGGGCUUAUGUGAAAAAAUAAUUAUUCCAUGUAGAAAGGAAGUUGGCUUGCUUUGAGCAGAGGUGUUAAUAGACUAACCUUUUUCCCCAACACCAGCCUGCUUACCUGAAAAUAUGAAAACAUCUACUGAUGCAGCACUGUAUUUAUUUGAGGUGGGUAUCAUAUCCCACUCAUGUUAAAUGUCUUGCUGCGUUUCAGACUAAGAUAGUCAUUAAUGGGAAUACCAGUUAUAAGAGUCAUUUAAUGAAAAAUAAGCCCUGGACAACUGUGUUGCAAUUUUAGUAAUUUGGGGGCAGAGGCAUGCAGAUCAUAGCACACAAAUACAGCUAAAUUUAAAAGAGUAUCUUCAGAAUAGACACCUUCCCCCCUUCCACCAGGUUCAGGAUAGUUAAUAAGAGCUGGAUCUUGAAUGACAGUACCAAAACAGGGACUUGGCAAAGAGAGGACUUGCUUCAGCUGAGAGAUAUGCCAGAGUACAGAUAAAACCAUCAGCAACUGGAACAGUGGAAAGGGUGGAAAUACUACAAAGAUCUAUGGUAAAAAGCUAUUUAGGUCCCUCUCAAAGGCAGCAUCACUUUGUUACCUAAAAAAGAUUCCUUCUUCUCCCCAUCUCCAAUAUAUUUCAAUUGCAGUCAAUGGUAACUCCCAAGCAGUGGCAAAAGCAACAAUACUUGCACAGACAUGGCAUUAAUAAAUUAAGCAGAGGUCCACUGGUUGCUCUAGCUGUGCCUGAGUAAUGUUUCCCCAGUCAUUCUUCUCCUUCCAUUAGCAGAAAUUAGUCUCCUCUGCCAGCAUAAGCAUGCACACAAGUAGGCUUGUAAACCUAUCAAAAUGAGUCAGUCUUGAAAAUGCAUCAGUUUUCCCUGAAAACUGGGAAGACAAAAACUUACAGGAAGUGUUUAAACUAAGCCAGACCCUACUGAGAGAACCAAGCAUUAUGCAGCUAUACCUAUGGGCUGGGUGGGAUCUCAGGAACACUGAGGGUGUAGAACAAUCUCCUCACCUGCUUUCCUUCCAGCUGGAACUGAAAUAGGACAAGCUAGAAAUCACUGACAGCAAUACAAACGUGUCUAGGAGAGACAAGUGCUGUCAAUGCAAAGUAGGCAACAGUGAUGACAAAGGGCUCUUGUUCUCUCAGCAAAUCCCUUCUACCCGAGGGGAAUGCACGACUAGAAUGGAUGGGCAAGACCUAAAACUCUGCAUCUCUUUCCUUGCCGUUUAAAUAUGUAGAUGCUUCUUCUUCAUUCUGAAGUUCUUUUGGAUAUGCUUUGAGUAGGGCUAGGAAAGGAUUGGCUUUGUUGUCUCAGAUUGGAUACGCCCUUCCUUACUUUUUUUUUUUUUUUUCCCAGCCUAAAGGGGUUUAGACAAGGGGUAGUUUCUAAGGUUGUUGAAAAGACAUAAAGCUGCUAGGAGACUCAAUGGAAGAUGUGGCUUGCCAGCUGCUAAUCUGUGUGGCAGGGGCUCCCCUGGACAUCCACACCUCAGGAAGCCCUCCCAUAAAUCUUUCUCUCAGGACUCCAUUAUCCCUAGUGUUAGCAUCUCUGCAAUAAAAUUAAGAUCUGAUAGAAGAUCCAAAUUAGAAAAGGGGGAAAAUGGAGCUUACAGCAUCUACCCCUGUCUACACAACUCUUACCUCUGCUUCUAUUAAUUGAUCCAUCUGCUUCCCAGACCUGGAACUGUCUGCACUCAAGGGAGAACCUUGCUUUUGCUCUAGUAGUGGAAAUGGGUGUGCCUAUUUGGGGGUGUUUGUGUUCGUAGGGGGAGGUUUAUAUCCUCUAAAAUAAGCAAGUUGCAAGGCUUCUUUAUGGAGAUGCACAACACAAUUUCUCACCAAGAGCCCAAGGCAGAGUAUGCCAGGCCUUUUCAUAAGAUGUUGGAGUGCUAACACAUGGUAUGCAUGGGCACCUUUUAUAUAUAUCACAAACACCUACUUGCCUGGAAGAAAAUCAAUAACACCCUACACCAAAGCUUGCAUUUGUUUGCUCUUAUUAGAAGUGGAAUGGUGCCUGAGGGAGGGCCAUAGGCAUUCCAUUACUUAGGAUCAGUGCCUGAGCAAAAUGGAAAGGCUGCUAAAAAUAAGCAACACUUGCUCAUUGGUAUAAAUAACAAAAGCGAGAGAGAAAGAAAAACAGAAAGACAACAAGAUGAAAAUGAAAACUGGCCCCAGACCAGGCCUCGCAGAAUGACCAGUCACCUCCUCAUUGCCAAUUCUCUCACCAUCUCCACUAUGGGCAAGAUACUUUCCACUGCCAAGCUCAGCUUCUUUCCUGAGAGGACCAUUACUCGCAGAUUCACAGUGGGCCUGAGCAUAGAAGAUAUUCCCACAGCACCUCACAAAAUACCACUGUGAUCCCUGCAGUAGCUUACUUCCGGGGCAAAUAAUUCCCAGAGCACCCUUGGCUGCCUAUUUUCAAGUACCAAGGUUGAGAAAGCCUAGAAACAAACAGAUUGUAUUUAUUUACAUUGUGAUAGUCUCCAAAGACACCAGCACAACGGUGAGAGCAAAGGACCCAUCAUUAAAGCAAGACCAGAGUUCAAGCAGCAGCAAUUGAUGCUUGGAGCUCAACACUGAAAAAAAUUUCAGAUGAUUACGUGACACAUGCAUGUGAUAUGCACAACCUAAAAUCUGCCACAAAAACAAAGAAAUCUAAUUUUGUGUGUUCCAUGAAGAGCAAGCUAUCCUAAGAAAGCUGAUCAUAUAAAAGAUGAUAUGACUGACUUCAGUAAUCAUCAACACAUGUGGGAAAUGGAAAAAUUGGAAAAGAUCUAUACCUAAACAUAAAAAGUAAUGAUCAGAGCAAAACACAGCCUGAAGCUCCUGCAAAGUCCAUAUGCUUUAUUAGCACCUACAUAAAAUGAUCUUCUAAUUAGAGGCAGAAUUCCUACCAAAGUCUUAUGUUAAAAAGCACUCUCAGGUCCACAAGCUGCCAGAGAAACCCCAUCACUUUGCUCCCAGAAGUUUGCUGAAAAGCUCUACGUGGCCUAAACAACACAAACUUCAACGUCUUGGGCAGCGCUAUCUCCUGCGGGGGCCGCGGGGUGACCCCGCUGGCACAAACAGGCAAGGAUAAGGGUAAGGAUAAGGAUAAGAGCUUGGAAAACAUCGGCCCUGGCUCCUGGGCUUCCCACAGAUAGAGCAUCUGGGCAGCGUUAACUGUGGCACCCUGCACACAGCGGCUGGGCCGCGAUAGAGCCCGACAGGGCCGCAGGGCCGCCGUGGGACGCGGCUGCCCUCAGCUCGGCGGCAACGGAGCCGCCCAGCCAAACGCCGUGCUUGUGGAAACGAGCUCUGGAAGGAGUUAAAGAAGUGUUUACAGCACAGUUUGCAAUCGAUAAGGAGACAAGAUGCUCUUCAAAAGUCAGGGAAUUCUGUCUGAGCAUAAGCUUUUUUUCCUUCUGUUCGACCAAGGGCCACAGAUACCUCAAACAAACUUCAGCCAGAAAUUCAUGCUGACUUUUUGCAUGUUUCCAGCAUCUAGCAAGACCGGCUAGCAAAGUCUUCGUCCGCUAACAUCAUAUGGCAAAGCUCACUAUGGGCCAAAGAGGUGACAGAAGUUCUCAAAAAAUGUUAUAUAUAGGCAAUAAACUUCCCAGAUCUUGCCAUUACCAUUUAAAUUGGCCAACCAGCCUUUAUGCACAGCACCUAUAUGCAAAUCAUCAAAUCAGAUGGGAAAAACUUGGAAUAUGAUUGUUGUGCAAUUGACAGGAAGGAAUUUAUGUUGAUUUUCUUUCUAUUAACAAGAUCUUCUGCAUCUUGGUGGUAAAACAUUCCAUCAAUUGUAUUUUCUAGAGAAACAGAACUUAAUUCCACUCAUUCAAGGCUCCUGUACUCAGAAAUGAAUGGCAGCAAGAAUUUACAAUUGUUAAACUGAUCUCCCUCCCAUUUGUGACCAUCUAACUUCCUUGUAACAACUACAGUAAUUGCUGCUACAAAGGAACAGCUGUUUAAAAUGCAUUUUGGCCAACCUUUUCUACAGCUGGGAAGGUUGAAUGGUGGAGGAUGACCUUUUCCUUUGACCAGUCUCCAGAAGUUCUGCCUGGACUGCUGACAAGCACUCAGCCAUAAUAUGAAAGCCUGCUCUGUGCAUCUCAGUGAAAAUUUCCUAAGUUAUAAAACUCAUCGGGGGAAAAUAAGUAACCCUUACAACAAUGCUUCAUGCUUGUAAAAACCUAGAAAUCUUCUAUUAUUAUAAGGACAGUCGGCAUUUUAUGUUUAUCGUACAUUCAACAGCAAGAAAAGAGAUACAAACUAUCUACUCUCACAGACUUUUUGUUAAGUUUGGGGGAUGGGAUGGGGAUUUUUUUACUUGGUAUUUGGUUGUUGCUUUGUUAUUUUGGGUUGGUUGUUUUUUUUUUUUUUAACUGAAAUAAUGUAUGUUGAAACAAAGCAUGUGGUUAAUUUCUAUGUAAAGAAAGAUAAAUGCUUUCCAUCUUUUAAAGUCAGCUCCAACUGAAAGAAACUUAGAGUAAAAAAAAAGACAAAAGCAAUAGAUUUCUUUUUAAGGAAAAGUAAUGAACUUACCUAGUCAAGGAAAGAUUUAAAUUUAAGGACUUUGAGCAACAUUGCUGGGGAAAAAAACCAUACUGUGCACUGAUGCCAUUGUUCUGCAGAUAGAAAAACAUACAUAGAGCAAUUAUAUGCAGAUAUGUCAUUGAGGAAAACUGUGUUAUGGCAUUAAACAGAGAGAUGAAAAUUAGCAGCAAACUAAAGGUAGAACAUAAGAGUCCAUUUUUACACCUAGGGCUCUGUCAACAUGCUCUAAAUAUUCAGAAUACAAGCUCAGGAUCCUCAAGAGUACUGUGAAGAGAACCUAGGUUCAUUUCAAUGACACAGAACAACUCCUUUAACAAAACAAAAUUACAUGAGAACUGUAGAGGUCCAUCAGGUAGCACAGGGGGUUACAGCAAAAAGAGUUCCCUGUUCUCAAUGCUCCUUGGUACAGCUUCUACAAAAUAAACAUUUUUCUCCCAUUUCCCUUGCUUUCCCUUUUAACACAUUUACAAAUGCUUAUUAAAAGAAAACAUGAGAUUGCA